UACGGAGGAUGCGAGCGUUAUCCGGAUUUAUUGGGUUUAAAGGGUGCGUAGGCGGUAUUUUAAGUUAGUGGUAAAACGUCGGGGCUUCACCUUGAUUGGCCAUUAAAACUGGAGUACUAGAGUACAGACGAGGUAGGCGGAAUAAGUUAAGUAGCGGUGAAAUGCUUAGAUAUAUGGAAGAACACCAGUGGCGAAGGCGGCUCUCUGGUCUGUAACUGACGCUGAGGCUCGAAAGCAUGGGUAGCGAACAGG
rnacentral:rRNA from 1 species